rnacentral:rRNA from 1 species
UACGAAGGGGGCUAGCGUUGCUCGGAAUCACUGGGCGUAAAGCGUACGUAGGCGGGCUCUUAAGUCGGUGGUGAAAUCCUGGAGCUCAACUCCAGAACUGCCUUCGAUACUGAGAGUCUUCGAGUCCGGGAGAGGUGAGUGGAACUGCGAGUGUAGAGGUGAAAUUCGUAGAUAUUCGCAAGAACACCAGUGGCGAAGGCGGCUCACUGGCCCGGUACUGACGCUGAGGUGCGAAAGCGUGGGGAGCAAACAGG